UACGAGUGCCCCACGCGUUAUCCGGAAUUACUGGGCGUAAAGGGUGCGCUGGCGGCUUUGUUAGUCUCUUGUUAAACCUUCGCGCCUAACCCGAAGAUCGCAAGGGAAACGGCAAAGCUAGAGUACAGGAGAGGUGUGCGGAGCUCAUGGUGUAGGGGUGAAAUCCGUUGAUAUCAUGGGGAACACCAAAAGCGAAGGCAGCACACUGGCCUGUUACUGACGCUCAUGCACGAAAGCGUGGGGAGCGAAUCGG
rnacentral:misc_RNA from 1 species